rnacentral:misc_RNA from 1 species
AAGAGACGUUGCCCUUCGGGGUAUACCUCCCACCCUUUGUUUAUUAUACCUUUGUUGCUUUGGCGGGCCCUGUCCUCGGACCACCGGCUUCUGCUGGUCAGUGCCCGCCAGAGGACCUAAAACUCUGUUUGUUAAUAUUGUCUGAGUACUAUAUAAUAGUUA